rnacentral:lncRNA from 1 species
AAACCACAUAUUUCUCAGAGCAGUCCACAUAUCGACUACCGAGAACGUGAUUGCAGACAGGCUGAGCCGGACCAUGAACCAGAUGCACGAAUGGGAGCUCCACGACUCAGUCUUCCACCGCAUUUGCUAUCGAUGGGGCACUCCCGAGAUAGACUUAUUUGCCACCCAUCGCAAUGCCAAAUGUCCUCUGUAUGCGUCCAGGGCUGGACGGGGGACGAACUCAAUGGGCGACGCUUUCAUGAUCUCAUGGAGGCACCGUCUACUCUACCUGUUUCCGCCAUUCCCUCUUAUUCAGAGAGCUUUGGUUCAGCUACGAUUUCAGUUAGCAGAAGCAAUUCUGGUGACACCUUUCUGGCCUCGACAGCCCUGGUUUCCAACUCUCAUGGACUUGGCAAUAGACUCUUUGAGACUCCCCAGCUUUCCAGCCCUACUCACUCAGGAUGCAGGCAAGGUUUGCCAUCCGGACCUGAACACGCUACACCUCACUGCGUGGAGGAUCUCCCCGAGAUCAAGGAGAUAUUAGAUCAUUCCAUAAAACCGUCCACCUCCACGUUAUAUUCUCAUAAAUGGAAAAGUUUCCUUAAAUUUACCAGAUCCAGAGGACUUCAAGCAUCACCAGCGUCCCUUUCCACCACGCUGCAGUUCCUGCGCCAUUUAUUCGACCUCAAGUUAUCCCUCUCUACUCUGAAGGUUUACUUAGCGGCUAUAGUUUCUUUUCAACCAAGAGAUUCCCCUUCCUCUCGGUUUUUUUCUCAUCCCACGGUUAAAAACUUUCUCAGGGGAGUUACACACCUGCGUCCGCCGCUGAGACCUUUGGUACCCCAGUGGUCUUUACACCUGGUCCUCAAUGCACUUAUGCGUUCUCCAUUUGAACCUCUGGCUACCUGUUCUCUUAAGUUGUUGUCUCUAAAAGUUUUGUUUCUCGUAGCCAUCACAUCUGCCCGCAGAGCCAGCGAAUUGGCUGCCCUCAGAGCUGACCAACCAUUCCUGCAAUUUUUCAAGGAUAAAGUUGUCCUACAUACCGACAUUUCCUUUCUUCCCAAGGUCAUUUCCGAGUUUCACCUGAAUCAACCAUUGAUACUUCCCACAUUAUUCUCUCAGCCUACCAACGAUACCGAGCGCAUGCUCCAUACCCUCGACGUCAGGAGGGCACUUUCCUUUUAUGUUGCCCGUCCCAAGGACUUUCGCCUAUCCCCAAGGCUCUUCCUCUGCUAUUUUGGUUGUAAAAAGGGUCUCCCAGCCUCUCCCUCCUCAAUAUCCCGCUGGCUGGUUACUACCAUAGCUUUGGCCUAUCAGCUUCAGCAUCAAUCUCCUCCUGCUGGCCUCCGCGCCCACUCCACCAGGGCGGUAGCUUCAUCAACAGCACUCUUAAGAGGGAUUGACUUACCUGACAUAUGUCGGACGGCCACCUGGUCCAGA